CUUUCAACAACGGAUCUCUUGGUUCUGGCAUCGAUGAAGAACGCAGCGAAAUGCGAUAAGUAGUGUGAAUUGCAGAAUUCAGUGAAUCAUCGAAUCUUUGAACGCACAUUGCGCCCCUUGGUAUUCCAUGGGGCAUGCCUGUUCGAGCGUCAUUUGUAC
rnacentral:rRNA from 1 species